GACACACAUGUCAGCUAAUUAGCUAACUGACUAAGAAAAUACCAGAAUUUCGCUCACCAAAAUUGAAGCACAAGCUUUUUGGACGGCUGUGAACCUGGUGGCUGUUGCCUGAUGACUAAGACCCUGUGCAGUUUUGCAGGCACAAUCCAGACCUGAUGCCAGGAGCAGCUCGGGAGACCUGAAAGCGGCCGAGCACCAACACUCUCAUUCCAACCCGGCUGAGCUUAAAGGAUUCUGCUGAGAAGAAUGGCAGAGACCCCUGAAAGAAAGGAUCAUUCCCAAGAAAACUUGAGGCUGUUAUUGCUUCCAAAGGGGCCUUAACCAAGACAAGGGUCUGAAUACUUA